CUACGUAGGGGGCGAGCGUUGUCCGGAAUGAUUGGGCGUAAAGGGCGCGUAGGCGGCCCGGUAAGUCUGGAGUGAAAGUCCUGUUUUUAAGAUGGGAAUUGCUUUGGAUACUGUCGGGCUUGAGUGCAGGAGAGGUAAGUGGAAUUCCCAGUGUAGCGGUGAAAUGCGUAGAGAUUGGGAGGAACACCAGUGGCGAAGGCGACUUACUGGACUGUAACUGACGCUGAGGCGCGAAAGUGUGGGGAGCAAACAGGAUUAGAUACCCUGGUAGUCCACACUGUAAACGAUGAGUGCUAGGUGUAGGGGGUAUCGACCCCUUCUGUGCCGCAGUCAACACAAUAAGCAUUCCGCCUGGGGAGUACGGCCGCAAGGUUGAAACUCAAAUGAAUUGGCGGGG
rnacentral:rRNA from 1 species